GUUGAGGGGAAUGCUGUCUGGUUCGAGACCAUUCGCUUGAUGCCACCCAUCACAGCUUCUGAAUGAUCUCGGACCAGGCUUCAUUCCCCCCAAC
rfam:Ricinus communis cultivar Hale ctg_1100012357623, whole genome shotgun sequence.